CCAUGUUGCCUCCGGUGGUGUACAGUCGCUGCCUCGCCUUGUGCGCGUCUCUCGGCUCUCUGUCUAACUGACACAGCCCCGGGACGCUGCCGUGCGCGCUACGUCAGCAAUGGGCAAGGAAGCCGAGGGGUCUGCCCGAAGAGUGACGUCACGCGUCGACAAGCUGGCGCUGUUUGCUCCUCCUACGCGUGGGAUGAAACUUAGUGUGAGGGGGCGUACUGAAACGCUCGUCUUCGGUUUUCGGCAGACAAGAUGCAGUGAGAGCGAAGCUAUGCUGGCAAUAGUAAGAUGGCGGCCGCUACAAACGCUUCAUGCCCGCACUUUGGCGUGAGGUUGCGUGCGCAUGGCGCUCAUUGGCUGUUACUGCAAGAUGGAGCCCAGCGGUAUGACAGGCUGAUCGGAUGAGAUAACUGCAAGGUGCAUUGGACAGCGGCUGUAAUGGAGUUCACGUCACUCCCAGAAUGCUGAGCGAAAUAUGCAAAUGCCCUCAAGCAGCUUGUUUCUGCUUAGAUUUAGGACUCACAUAUUCUGUAGCUCUUUGGGGAAGGAGUGGUUGCAGUAAAGGUUUUUUUUUUUUCCAUUAAAAAAACCAAAAUGUGGUGAAUUAAAACUGGAAAAGUGUAAUGAUGUUUUGUCACUGUAAUCUCACAGUUGUGACUUUUUGUGCAGGUGGAAAUGGGUAAUUAUGAACUUUACCCCGCACUGCGAUUGAUGAUCCCAAACUGGACGGAAGGCUGAUAUUCAGAAUAGCUUUCCUUACCGGCUUUAUCCUGCUCAGCAUUAGGAAUUGGGCAAAUCUCCAAACUGUCCCAAUUUCGGUAGGCCCUGUCCAGUGUCAGGCUCUGCCAUCCUGACAUUGUUACCAGGCAGCACAGUGUGAGUCCAUUAUUGGAUAUCCUUACUCUUUGCUGAUGGCUCUAGGACCAUACCAACAGCGCAUCUGUAGUGGUCAGCCGUCAGUGGGGCCGGCCAGGAGGAUCUCCGUCACCAGCCAGGCCUACGCACCACGUCCCUGGUUAUCCCUGCCCUCUUUUGGGUGGGAGCGCCCAUUCUGGAUGUUACCAGUAAAACAAAUUGUGUCAUGGGCUUGUCCUGUCAAGUCUUUCCACCCGAUGUCCUGCUAUUAUAUCAGACAAACUUAGUAGGAUAUAUGGUUAUGGACACAUGGGCAAUCCUACAGAGGUGUGCCAUUACGUUCCAAAAAGGAGAAAAACUGCCCAAAAAUGUUUUAACCUGAUGCAUGUGAAUGUACACCAAGCUGACUAGCCACUAUGCUAUCCAAGAGCACUCAUGGCAGCAUAUGCAAAUAAUGCUAUUAAAGCGCUCUGUGUCUAGGCUUGAGUGCUCUUCGUGCAGUUUGCACAGACCAAGCAACUACUAUUUGUGCUAAGCAAGAGCAAACUUGGGGCAAAAACCUGGAUUUGUGAUGUCCCGCCAAAUCAAUGACUGCAUGACGUAUGCAUGUGCUUUGGAUAUUGCCACCAAAGUAGUAUCAGUACAAUUAAGUAUAGCCUCCAAAAUAGACCCAGGUAAAACAAACUACUUUUUUUUUUUCCAAUGUCUGAUAACAGAUGUGGCAUGGGAGGAUCUUUAAAGAAGACUGCUACUUGAUUUCAGUCAAGCAAGCUGUUAUUCCAAACAGUUACAUCCACUACAGAAUUUUUCUUGCCUUUCUCAUUCCUGGAAUGCAUCAGGCACCGCCAAUGACCUACACAGGUGAACUCAAAGAAGUAAAUAACUGGGAUAUAAAUGACACAAGUGGAGGCAAAUUUAGUACUGCAAUUUAUUAAUUUUUGUUGCAUGGAUAUGUAACAGCAUUUUUGUACAAUGUAUUAUGUAUGUAGUUGUUAUAGAAUCUGUUGUCAUGAUUAUGGAUCACCCCUAACACCCAAACUUUGGGUUUAACUUGCCUACAAAUGAUUGUAAGAGACAUAUACGAUUGGCGUGUAUUAGCAGACCACUAUGCCAAGCUAAACCAAGCAGGAAGAAAAUAGACACAAAUUACCAGAUUUUACUAAUCUCAUGACGUAAAGUCGUGAUUUUAUAAAGGACACGUAGGCGAGUAUUAUGCUUAUCUCUUUCUUUAUUCCUCAGCAGCAAAAGAAAGGAUAUUGUAUCUAUAAAGUGAAAAAUGUCAAUAACAAAACAUUUAUAUAUACCUUACACCUGGCACCUAUUUAGUCCAUUGGGACUAUGAUCAUCAGAUAUAUAUAUUUUUGUCUAUCUAAGGAUACAUUCUGUAAUCUGUCACUAUCUUACCACUGUGGG